GACGAACGCUGGCGGCGUGCUUAACACAUGCAAGUCGAACGGAAAGGCCCUGCUUUUGUGGGGUGCUCGAGUGGCGAACGGGUGAGUAACACGUGAGUAACCUGCCCUUGACUUUGGGAUAACUUCAGGAAACUGGGGCUAAUACCGGAUAGGAGCUCCUGCUGCAUGGUGGGGGUUGGAAAGUUUCGGCGGUUGGGGAUGGACUCGCGGCUUAUCAGCUUGUUGGUGGGGUAGUGGCUUACCAAGGCUUUGACGGGUAGCCGGCCUGAGAGGGUGACCGGCCACGUUGGGACUGAGAUACGGCACAGACUCGUACGGGAGGCAGCAGUGGGGAAUAUUGCACAAUGGGCGGAAGCCUGAUGCAGCAACGCCGCGUGCGGGAUGACGGCCUUCGGGUUGUAAACCGCUUUCGCCUGUGACGAAGCGUGAGUGACGGUAAUGGGUAAAGAAGCACCGGCUAACUACGUG
rnacentral:rRNA from 1 species